UGGGGAAUAUUGCACAAUGGGCGAAAGUCUGAUGCAGCAACGCCGCGUGAGUGAUGACGGUCUUCGGAUUGUAAAGCUCUGUCUUUGGGGACGAUAAUGACGGUACCCAAGGAGGAAGCCACGGCUAACUACGUGCCAGCGGCCGCGGUAAUACGUAGGUGGCAAGCGUUGUCCGGAUUUACUGGGCGUAAAGGGUGCGUAGGCGGACCUUUAAGUGAGAUGUGAAAUCCCCGACCUUAACUUGGGGGCUGCAUUUCAAACUGGAGGUCUAGAGUGCAGGAGAGGAGAGUGGAAUUCCUAGUGUAGCGGUGAAAUGCGUAGAGAUUAGGAAGAACACCAGUGGCGAAGGCGACUCUCUGGACUGUAACUGACGCUGAGGCACGAAAGCGUGGGGAGCAAACAG
rnacentral:rRNA from 1 species